rnacentral:rRNA from 1 species
AGCCGAAUGCGGGAGAUGCAGCGGCGUCGCGUGGGUUUUGAAGGCUUUCGGGUUGUAUACCCCUUUCAGCAGGGACGAAGCUUUUGUGACGGUACCUGCAGAAGAAGCACCGGCUAACUACGUGCCAGCAGCCGCGGUAAUACGUAGGGUGCGAGCGUUGUCCGGAAUUAUUGGGCGUAAAGAGCUUGUAGGCGGUUUGUCGCGUCUGCCGUGAAAGCCCAGGGCUUAACCCUGGGUCUGCGGUGGGUACGGGCAGACUAGAGUGUGGUAGGGGAGACUGGAAUUCCUGGUGUAGCGGUGAAAUGCGCAGAUAUCAGGAGGAACACCGAUGGCGAAGGCAGGUCUCUGGGCCACUACUGACGCUGAGAAGCGAAAGCAUGGGGAGCGAACAGGAUUAGAUACCCUGGUAGUCCAUGCCGUAAACGUUGGGAACUAGGUGUGGGCCUCAUUCCACGAGGUCCGUGCCGUAGCUAACGCAUUAAGUUCCCCGCCUGGGGAGUACGGCCGCAAGGCUAAAACUCAAAGGAAUUGACGGAGA